GUGCUCACUUGCUGAAGGCAGUCCUGCCCUGGCAUCAGGGAAGGAGAGAGAAACAGAGGGAGGGAGAGGGAAAGAGAAGAGAGUCCUCAGGAAGCUCACAAUCUACCUUGAGGGAGUAAGAUACAGCAUGUAUAUUCAUUUGGAGCUCAGUUUAGACUUGAUGAACAUGUAUUGUGCUAGUAUGUGUUUAUACAUGCAAGGCAGACUGUGCUUCUUACCAUAGGAGAUGAUUACUGAUAAUUUUAUUAGUUUGCAGGAAAAGAGAUGGAUGGAAAUGUCACAGAAUUAGAAAAUCUUGAACAACUUUGAGGUGAAAGGAUUUUGCUGCUGGAGGUGGGAGAUGGACAGUAGGAGCAAAGAUACUGAAUCCACAGAUAAGUCAUCUAGAUUAAAUAGCCCAAAAUGCCCAUCUGAGAGGAAUGGGAGACACAGAGAGAAUGAGAUGUUCUUCUAGAUGGAUCCAUAAAACCCUCGACGGUGGAGAAGCCUUACAAAUGACCUACAUGAGUGCCUUCACUAUAGAGAGGAGAGUUCAGGCCACAGAGGGGCAGUGAAACCUGCAGAUGAUGGUGGAGAAAGUGGCCCACAUCAAACUAAUGUAGAGAGAAGCAGAAGUCCAGAGGAGCGGAUACAAGGUCGGAUGAGGGCACCACGGCAGGGAGGGAAACUGUGAGGUCAGAUGACAUAGAGAUUUGAUGUCAAGACCAAGGAAUUCCCAGAGAGAUGAAUCCAGAUUCCAAUGGUCAAGAAGGUCAGUGCCAUGCCAGAGAAACAACAAGGAAUCUGGGUAGAAAUCACUACUCAAAGUGCUGGUGGGAACACAGAGGGAACAGAUCCUUCUUCUGGCUUCUCCAAUUUGAGACAACAUGUGAAGUGGAAACCAGAUUGAAAAGAAAAGAAUUGGAGAAGUAAAUACUACUAUGCAGAGA
rnacentral:lncRNA from 1 species